rnacentral:misc_RNA from 1 species
UACCGUUGGAAAACAAUGCCGU